rnacentral:rRNA from 1 species
UACGUAGGGUGCAAGCGUUAAUCGGAAUAUCUGGCGUAAAGCGUGCGCAGGCGGUUGAUGUAAGACAGGUGUGAAAUCCCCGGGCUUAACCUGGGAACUGCAUUUGUGACUGCAUCGCUGGAGUGCGGCAGAGGGGGAUGGAAUUCCGCGUGUAGCAGUGAAAUGCGUAGAUAUGCGGAGGAACACCGAUGGCGAAGGCAAUCCCCUGGGCCUGCACUGACGCUCAUGCACGAAAGCGUGGGGAGCAAACAGG